GGCGUGCUUAACACAUGCAAGUCGAGCGGUAAGGCCCUUCGGGGUACACGAGCGGCGAACGGGUGAGUAACACGUGGGUGACCUGCCCUCAGCUCUGGGAUAAGCCUGGGAAACCGGGUCUAAUACCGGAUAGGACUGCAUGCUUCAUGGUGUGUGGUGGAAAGUUUUUUCGGCUGGGGAUGGGCCCGCGGCCUAUCAGCUUGUUGGUGGGGUGAUGGCCUACCAAGGCGACGACGGGUAGCCGGCCUGAGAGGGCGACCGGCCACACUGGGACUGAGACACGGCCCAGACUCCUACGGGAGGCAGCAGUGGGGAAUAUUGCGCAAUGGGCGGAAGCCUGACGCAGCGACGCCGCGUGGGGGAUGACGGCCUUCGGGUUGUAAACCUCUUUCGCCAGGGACGAAGCGCAAGUGACGGUAC
rnacentral:rRNA from 1 species